AUGUUAACUUGGGAAGACACCAUGAUCACAAAGGUGAUUCUCUCAGGGUGAGGCUCAUCCAUUGUACUGUGGGUGUGCUGACCCAUGUGAUAGUCCCAAAUGCAGGAAACUUGACUGCAUAAUUUGUGGUAGUGGGGGACUGCGCUUGCACCUUCCCCUG
ensembl:snRNA U1 U1 spliceosomal RNA